CGAACGCUGGCGGCGUGCUUAACACGUGCAAGUCGAACGCGAAAGGGACUUCGGUCCUGAGUAAAGUGGCGCACGGGUGAGUAACGCGUAGAUAACCUGUCUUCAUGUCUGGAAUAAUACGCCGAAAGGGGUACUAAUACCGGAUAUCUUGCUUUUCAUAAGUUAUGCAAGCAAAGGUGGCCUCUGCAUAUGCUACUGCAUGAAGAGGGGUCUGCGUACCAUUAGCUAGUAGGUGGGGUAAUGGCCUACCUAGGCGACGAUGGUUAGCGGGUCUGAGAGGAUGAUCCGCCACACUGGCACUGGAACACGGGCCAGACUCCUACGGGAGGCAGCAGUGAGGAAUAUUGCGCAAUGGGGGAAACCCUGACGCAGCGACGCCGCGUGAGUGAGGAAAAGGCCUUCGGGUCGUAAAGCUCUGUCAAGAGGAAAGAAGUGUACAAUGGCUAAUACCUGUUGUAUUUGACGGUACCUCUAAAGGAAGCACCGGCUAACUCCGUGCCAGCAGCUGC
rnacentral:rRNA from 1 species